GCAAGUCGAGCGGACAGAUGGGAGCUUGCUCCCUGAUGUUAGCGGCGGACGGGUGAGUAACACGUGGGUAACCUGCCUGUAAGACUGGGAUAACUCCGGGAAACCGGGGCUAAUACCGGAUGCUUGUUUGAACCGCAUGGUUCAAACAUAAAAGGUGGCUUCGGCUACCACUUACAGAUGGACCCGCGGCGCAUUAGCUAGUUGGUGAGGUAACGGCUCACCAAGGCGACGAUGCGUAGCCGACCUGAGAGGGUGAUCGGCCACACUGGGACUGAGACACGGCCCAGACUCCUACGGGAGGCAGCAGUAGGGAAUCUUCCGCAAUGGACGAAAGUCUGACGGAGCAACGCCGCGUGAGUGAUGAAGGUUUUCGGAUCGUAAAGCUCUGUUGUUAGGGAAGAACAAGUACCGUUCGAAUAGGGCGGUACCUUGACGGUACCUAACCAGAAAGCCACGGCUAACUACGUGCCAGCAGCCGCGGUAAUACGUAGGUGGCAAGCGUUGUCCGGAAUUAUUGGGCGUAAAGGGCUCGCAGGCGGUUUCUUAAGUCUGAUGUGAAAGCCCCCGGCUCAACCGGGGAGGGUCAUUGGAAACUGGGGAACUUGAGUGCAGAAGAGGAGAGUGGAAUUCCACGUGUAGCGGUGAAAU
rnacentral:rRNA from 1 species